rnacentral:rRNA from 1 species
AUUGAACGCUGGCGGCAUGCCUUACACAUGCAAGUCGAACGGUAACAGGUCUUCGGAUGCUGACGAGUGGCGAACGGUUGAGUAAUACAUCGGAACGUGCCCAGACGUGGGGGAUAACGAGGCGAAAGCUUUGCUAAUACCGCAUGCGAUCUAAGGAUGAAAGCAGGGGACCGCAAGGCCUUUCGCGUUUGGAGCGGCCGAUGGCAGAUUAGGUAGUUGGUGGGAUAAAAGCUUACCAAGCCGACGAUCUGUAGCUGGUCUGAGAGGACGACCAGCCACACUGGGACUGAGACACGGCCCAGACUCCUACGGGAGGCAGCAGUGGGGAAUUUUGGACAAUGGGCGAAAGCCUGAUCCAGCAAUGCCGCGUGCAGGAUGAAGGCCUUCGGGUUGUAAACUGCUUUUGUACGGAACGAAAAGGCUCUGGCUAAUACCUGGGGCACAUGACGGUACCGUAAGAAUAAGCACCGGCUAACUACGUG